UACGGAGGGUGCAAGCGUUAUCCGGAUUCACUGGGUUUAAAGGGUGCGUAGGUGGGUUGGUAAGUCAGUGGUGAAAUCUCCAGGCUUAACUUGGAAACUGCCAUUGAUACUAUCAAUCUUGAAUACUGUGGAGGUAAGCGGAAUAUGUCAUGUAGCGGUGAAAUGCUUAGAUAUGACAUAGAACACCGAUAGCGAAGGCAGCUUGCUACACAGUCAUUGACACUGAGGCACGAAAGCGUGGGGAGCAAACAGG
rnacentral:rRNA from 1 species